AUAUUUGCUCUUUAAAAGGAGUGUAGUGUCUGUUCUUAUCAGUUUAAUAUCUGACAUGUUCUUUGAGGGCUGUAUAUUAAAUUGAUUUUUGAAACAGGGGGAUGGAAUAGGAGCAUGCUCUGUCCACCCCAUGCAUUGACCUGGUAUUGCAGUGUCUCCGGGAAAGGGGGC
rnacentral:snRNA from 1 species